rnacentral:rRNA from 1 species
AUUGAACGCUGGCGGCAUGCCUUACACAUGCAAGUCGAACGGCAGCACGGGUGCUUGCACCUGGUGGCGAGUGGCGAACGGGUGAGUAAUAUAUCGGAACAUACCCUAGAGUGGGGGAUAACGUAGCGAAAGUUACGCUAAUACCGCAUACGAACGAAGGUUGAAAGGGGGGGAUCGCAAGACCUCAUGCUCAUGGAGUGGCCGAUAUCUGAUUAGCUAGUUGGUGAGGUAAAGGCUCACCAAGGCGACGAUCAGUAGCUGGUUUGAGAGAACGACCAGCCACACUGGAACUGAGACACGGUCCAGACUCCUACGGGAGGCAGCAGUGGGGAAUUUUGGACAAUGGGGGCAACCCUGAUCCAGCAAUGCCGCGUGAGUGAAGAAGGCCCUCGGGUUGUAAAGCUCUUUUGUCAGGGAAGAAACGGUCUACUCUAAUACAGUGGGCUAAUGACGGUACCUGAAGAAUAAGCACCGGCUAACUACGUGCCAGCAGCCGCCGUAAAAC